AAUCAACGCUGGCGGCGUGCCUCAGACAUGCAAGUCGAACGAGAAAGUCCCCUUCGGGGGAUAAGUAAAGUGGCGCACGGGUGAGUAACACGUAGGUAAUCUACCUUCGGGUGGGGAAUAACCCAGGGAAACUUGGGCUAACACCGCAUAAUGCAGCGGCACCACAUGGUGACAGUUGUUAAAGCGGGGGAUUUUCGGACCUCGCGCCUGAAGAGGAGCCUGCGGCGGAUUAGCUAGUUGGUAAGGAACGGCUUACCAAGGCAACGAUCCGUAGCCGGCCUGAGAGGGCGGUCGGCCACACUGACACUGACAUACGGGUCAGACUCCUACGGGAGGCAGCAGUCGGGAAUUUUGGGCAAUGGGCGAAAGCCUGACCCAGCAACGCCGCGUGAAGGAUGAAAUCCC
rnacentral:rRNA from 1 species